AAAAAGAUAAGCUAAAUUAAGCUUUUGGGCCCAUAACUCAAAUAUGAUAAAAUCUCUUUUUA
rnacentral:tRNA from 1 species